rnacentral:rRNA from 1 species
ACGGGAUCCCUGGCAGCUUGCUGCCGGGGUGAGAGUGGCGAACGGGUGAGUAAUGCGUGACCGACCUGCCCCAUGCACCGGAAUAGCUCCUGGAAACGGGUGGUAAUGCCGGAUGUUCCACAUGAGCGCAUGCGAGUGUGGGAAAGGCUUUUUGCGGCAUGGGAUGGGGUCGCGUCCUAUCAGCUUGUUGGUGGGGUAACGGCCUACCAAGGCGUUGACGGGUAGCCGGCCUGAGAGGGCGACCGGCCACAUUGGGACUGAGAUACGGCCCAGACUCCUACGGGAGGCAGCAGUGGGGAAUAUUGCACAAUGGGCGCAAGCCUGAUGCAGCGACGCCGCGUGCGGGAUGGAGGCCUUCGGGUUGUAAACCGCUUUUGUUCAAGGGCAAGGCACGGUUUCGGCCGUGUUGAGUGGAUUGUUCGAAUAAGCACCGGCUAACUACGUGCCAGCAGCCGCGGUAAUACGUAGGGUGCAAGCGUUAUCCGGAUUUAUUGGGCGUAAAGGGCUCGUAGGCGGUUCGUCGCGUCCGGUGUGAAAGUCCAUCGCUUAACGGUGGAUCCGCGCCGGGUACGGGCGGGCUUGAGUGCGGUAGGGGAGACUGGAAUUCCCGGUGUAACGGUGGAAUGUGUAGAUAUCGGGAAGAACACCAAUGGCGAAGGCAGGUC